CUCUCACACUGUUGGUGUGAAUCUAAAUUGGCGGGGCCACUAUGGAAAAUAGUAUGGGGUGUUCCCGCUGUGGUGCAGCGGAAACAAAUCCGAUAAUUAUCCAUGAGGACAUGGGUUCGAUCCCUGGCUCUGAAUAGUGGGUCAGGGAUCUGGCAUUGAAACUAUAAUUCAAAAAGAAACAUGUACCCCUCUAGCAGCACUAUUUACAAUAGCCAAAACAUGGAAACAACCUAAAUGUUCAUCGACAGACGAAUGGAUAAAGAAGAUGUGGGCGUUCCCAUUGUGGUGCAGUGGAAACUACUCUAACUAGGAACCACGAGGUUGUUGGUUCCAUCCCUGGCUUUGCCCAUGGGUUAACGAUCCGACAUCAUCGUGAGCUAUGGUGUAGGUCGACAAUGUGGCUGGGAUCCCUCAUUGCUGUGGCUGUGGUGUAGGCCNNNNNNNNNNNNNNNNNNNNNNNNNNNNNNNNNNAACCAAUGGGGCAGCUCUAAAAAAAAAAAAAAAAAAAAAAAAAAAAAAAAAAAAGAUGUGGUACAUAUACACAAUGAAAUAUUACUCAGUCAUAAAGAAGAACAAAAUAAUGCCAAUCACAGCCACAUGAAUGCAACUAGAGAUUAUCAUACUAAGUGAAGUCAGACAAAGAAAGACAAACACCAUAUGCUAUCACUUACAUGUGGAAUCUAAAAUACAACACAAAUGAACCUGUCUACAAAAUAGAAACAGACUCAUGGACAUACAGAACAGACUUGUGGUUGCCAAGAGGGUAGAGAGGUGGAAGAAGGGAGGAUUGGGAGUUUAGGAUUAGCCCAUGAAAACUGGUAUAUAUAAGAUAGAUAAACAAUAAAGUUCUACUCUAUAGGAAAGGGAACUAAUCCAAUAUCCUGUGAUGAAUUAUAAUGGAAAAGGAUAUGAAAAGAAUAUAUACAUACGUAUGUAUAACUGAAUCACUUUGCUGUACAGCAGAAAUUAACACAGCAUUUUGAAUCAACUAUACCUCCAUAGUUUGUUUAAAAAAAAAGAAUAAGUAUAUCCAAAAAAUUAGAUUUCUUUGGAAGCUAGGCAUUUUACAGGUCAAUAUCCCAUGCUGUUUCCAAGGUGGUUUUCAGAAGUACGGCUCAUGCUGAAAGCCCUUAAAUUUGUAACAGAAAGCAUUGUCUCUACCUUGCCAUCACUUCCUUCUUUUGCAAUUACUUGUCUCUGAAUGAUGUGACUUUUGAAAAAGUACUGUUAUUAUACCUAAGGAUAUGAUCUUGUUUUCCCUUACAUUACAAAUUUAAAGUCCUUAUUGUGAAUAGUGGGGAAAACAUUCAAAUAGGUCUUUUUAUACUGCCUUAACUACUAGUUAAGAAUCACUGAUAUACCUAGUUGGCAUUGGACUCUUUUUCCUGUCCCCAGUUUACCUUGCCUGCAUGAGUUCUUUCUUGCAGACGAUGUGCUCAGUAUCUAAGAUGCAUUAUCUCCUGUAAUCCUCAUAACAACUUCAAAAAUAUUUACUAUUAUUCCCCUUUUAAAAGAUGAAAAGUAAGUAAUUUUUGUCCAAGGCAAGUGGAAGAGCCAGGACUGAUAACUGAUUCCAGAGCCCAAACACUUAACCAUGACCUAUAUUUCCUCCUUCCUGGAAACAGGAGGAAUAGAACAAAUUCUGAUCACAAGUUCUUUUACCUGUUACACACUUAUAUAAAAUCAUGUACACACACAAAUACAAAGUAAGUGCAAUGAAAGAGAAAUGCCUCUUAAAAAAACAAAUACAACCCUAAUGAGAAUUCCGCAAAGAAAAUACUUUUUUUUCUGCUGCUUGAGUCUGUUUUUGAGAAAACUUAUUUUAUACUGUGAAAAAAUUGAACUUGACGAAAUUUUAACUUGUUCCAGAGCAAGAUUUUUCAUCAUUCUUCAUGUCUUAAAUAGAUUUACAAUAAAAUUGCCCCCGAUAUAACAUAUUUUAUAACCUCUCUAUUUCUGUAAACAAAAUCACUGCAACAAUCAGCACAUAUAUUAAAAUGAUGGCUUAAGGUUAAACUUGCAGAUGAUUUCAGUCCUAGAAUGAGGAUUCUCUGUUCAAUAACUAACCUCUGCAGGAUAGAGUUAAAUCAUUACUUUAAGGACUAGUUAUAACAAACACUUUGAAUGAUAAACAUUUGUGACUCUGAGGAAAAAUUUCUAGGAAGACUGUAACUGCUCCAGUGGCCUUUAGCUUGUAGAAGUUGCUAAUCCUCUUUAAAGAACCAGGAAAGUUAAGCAGGGUAAACUGUAAGCUUGCUGCUACUUGAAAUUACAAAUCAUUGAAAACCUGUCCAUGAGAACACCUUGGGGAGUAAAUGUGGAUAAUAAUGGUUUAUUUGUGGUUACAAAACAGUAAUGAACCUGUCUAAUCAAUUCUUCUGAAUAGCAAUGGAUCACAGUGAAAGGAAAAAUACACAUCCUUAUUGACCUUUUAUGUGUUCUGUUACUUUUCACUCUUACGACUUUUGAAUGAUUUCUUUUUCUAUUUAAUCAGGCAGUGACAGAGUAACCCUAAAAUUAUUACCCAUUUCUCUUCCCAAAGGCAGAAUUUAAUAUAAAUUCCUGAAACUGGAGUAGAAAAUAAACCAUUAUCUUUGCUUCUUACGGAUAUGGGAUAUUAUAACGGAAGAGUUAUUUUCAAAAAACUUUAUAUAUAUAAAGUUUUGCUGCACAGUAGAAAUUGACAGAACACUGUAAAUCAACUAUAAUGGAAAAAAUAAAAAUCAUAAAAAAGACAAUAAAAGAAGAGACUCAUAUUCAUAAAUCAAAAACGUGAACUGUUGCCUGAUCUCACUUUAUUAAUUUUGGUUAUCUUCAUAAUGGAUGCAUAUUAGUACAGAUAAAAUGUAUUUUUUCGAGAGACGUAAUGACCAAUAACCUCUUCUAUGAUUGAUUGUACUGGGCUCAUUAAUUUUACAUGUUUGGACAGGCCGUAUGUUGAAGGUUAAGUUAGAGAAAACCAUUUCUUUGUCUCUUCCAACCCCAACCACCUGUAGAUUUGAUGUUUCCGUCAACACAGUUCAUGUCAUAGAGAGUUAUUGAAAGAAAUGGGUCAGUUUAUGAAGAUGGCCAUGGCCAAAAAUCCGCUUGAUACAUCAAAGCUCACUAUCAUCACCAACAAAUCGGUUUGUCAAGUAAUAGUUUCAUUUCAUCCUGGGGUUAAAUCUACCACACUCAAAGUAAUAGAAAGUCCUCUCUAUGUCUGCUUAGGUCACAAGAUACUGUGAGAAUCAGAAGAGAUAGUAUUUAACAUUUUAAAAGAUUUACAUGGAGUUUGAUUAUGGAUAUUUUUCAUUUAUCUAACCAAUUCUUGCUCUUCCAGUUCAACUCAUGUAGUAGAAACCAAAAUAAAGUAUGUUUGUCAUAGGGUUAAUGUGGUCAUUUCUGUGAAGCCAUGCUAGUCUUCCAGUUUUAAUUUUAAACAUUUAUUUAAUACCAUCUGCACAUAUCUAUAGAUGAAAAAAAAGGUAUUCAGGAUUGAUAAGUGGGUUCUCUCUUCUAGUGGUGUUACAUUGUAUUGAGUCAUUGAUGCUCAUUCAACAAAUUCUUUUAAUUAGUAAAGAAAAUGUGCAAAUUGACCGAGUUCACUAUCUCGGGCUAGUAAAGUAGACUUCUCAAAAAGUGGCCUCCAAGGAAAUUGAUAUGAAGCCUUAAUUUAUUACACUACUAUUUAAACCCAUGAUACAACAUUUUGGUGACAGUUAACACUAGGUGACAGUAUUAAUCGGUUAUAAAAAGAAAUGCGAUUUGGGUUUUUUUCUUUUUUUGCUUUUCAGGGCUGCACCUGCUGCAUAUGGAAGUUCCCAGGCUAGGGGUUGAAUUGGAGCUAUAGCUGCCAGCCUACACUACAGCUACAUCAACACAGGAUCCGAGCCAUGUCUUUCACCUCUACCACAGCUCAUGGCAAAGCUGGAUCUUUAACCUACUGAGUGAGGUCAGAGAUUGAACCCACAUCCUCAUGGAUACUAGUUGGGUUUGUAACCCACUGAGCCACAACAGGAACUCCCCAAAGAAAUGAGAUUUGUAUGGGUAUGAGUUUGAUCCAUUUAAUCUUACUAGUGUUGAUCGUUAAUGAAUUAUGUUAUUUUGCUAUCAAAUUUUGGUGAGAAUACCACUAGUGGAAUUCUUCCAUGUUCACCUAGAAAAACAACUUUGCAGGUAAGUAUUUUAAUUCAGUUAAACCUUUAUCUGAAAGAGUCAUCAUUUCUUUAAUUUGGAUAACUUAACCUGGACCCAAAUAUAAAAUCCUAGAUUUCAAUUAAAUUGUACAUUAUUUUUAUAAUUAUGAUUUCUCAGACCAUGCUCUCUCUCUGUGAAGUAUAUUUAAGAAAAAAAGUUUGCUUUGCCUAAAUUUAGAAAAAUAAUAUAAGCUAUUUUUGGAGUGAUGUGCUAUUCUGAUUAUGGUUUUGUUUCUUUGUGGUAUUAUGACUAGAUUAGAAACUUUACAAUAGGAAAAAUACUAGCUUACUCAUUACAGGUUUAUAUAUUGAGAUAUCUACAGAUAUACCUGAGUAUUCAUGUGUUAGGCAUUUUUUUUGUAUGUAUGGAUGAAUGCUAGAUUGAUGGACAGACAUAUAUGUGUUUGCAUCUCAUAGUAUAGUUUUAUAGUUUACCUUUGUUUUAUAGUAAACUAAGCUAACAGUUUCUUGGCAGUAUACAAUCUUAGAUGCUUUAUAAAUACUCUAGUUAAGAAUCUACCUUUUUCUUAAUUUGCUGUUUUUUCUUAAUACGUAUUUAUUCCUAUGAAAGGAUCAGUGCAUCAGAGAAAACUUUCAGUCUGAUUUCUUUAAAAAUCUCAAUUGUCAAGAGGCUUAUUUCAGCAAUAUAAAGUAUAAUACCAUCCUUCAUGUAGGAUGUACUCUUUGAUUAUCCUUUUUAGGUGAACCUUUUUUAGCUUUUAAAUUCUGGGUUUUUCCUGGUUGUUGACAUGCUGUACGCUUUCAGCCAAGGUGGUUCUGCUGAUUAUAAAAAUUUCCGUUACUUCAUUUUGUAACUUUUUGAUUAUAUACAAUAUUACACUUUAAAGUUGUGUAUAAUUCUUUAUGAAGAAUUCUGAAGAGUCAAUUCUGAUUAAUAUUGGACAAUAUCUGUUUGUGUACUUGUAAAAAUAUCUGUCCAUAUCUUCCUUUACUUUGUAUUAGAUAUUAUGGACUAGAAGUAGAUUUCCACCUCUGUAUUACGAAUAUUCAAAGCUAAGAAUAUUCAGGUGCUAGCUCAUUAUGUAUGUUUGACACAAUUUACUACUUACUGAUUUUUUUAAAAAACUAUUUUCCUUAGCAACAUUUUUUUUCACGUGGUAUUUACUAUGUGAAUUCAAAAUGACUUGAUAGUGAUACACUCCGUGGAAUGCCAGCUGACUAUCACCAGGGAAUGUAACCCGUACUCCCAUUUUUUCCCACAUUCUUCGUUGCCAUAGAUCUUUCUGGGUAACCAUAAAUUAAGGCAUUUUUCUCCCUCAUGACCUGUUGUAAUUUUUUUUAUAAUGUGAAUAAUUGUGAUGACAGAAUUAAUUUGAGUAUGAAAAUAUGAGGGGAAAAAAGUCAUUACACUGAACUCAAAUUAACCAUUAAUUUUGUGAAGAGCAAACUGAAAUUUAUAAUGUCAAAUCAAAGCUAGUUUCUUUAGUUGAUUUUUUGAGUUUUUCAAGGACUUAAUAUAGUGUGAGAGAUGAAUUAAAAAGUAACAAUGAUAACUUGAUAAAAUGGAAGAAUAUUUUAUCUUAUUAAGAGUAAUAAUAGAAGAAUAUUUUGUCUUAUUAUUUUAUCUUAUUUAAUUAGAAUAUUUGGAUUUCAAUUCACAUAUAUAUAUAUGUGAUCGUUUGAUGAUAAAAUGGAAGAAUAAAAUAUUCAAGACAUAUAUAUAUUUUUUGAUUUCCCAAAUUCUCAAAUUUACUAAAUAGAUUCUUAUUGUUAUAUCAGAGAGUGGUAUCUCAUUUUGGAUAUACAGAUAGAGAAAAGUAAGUUGAUACUGAGUUGUUCUCUUGAUAGAAAACUUGAAUCUCAAGUUUCCUUCAAUAAGGAAAAAGAAACAAAAGUAUAUUUUAAAUUGUUACAGAAGAAAAUAGUACACCAAAA
rnacentral:lncRNA from 1 species